CAACUUUUAACAACGGAUCUCUUGGCUCUCGCAUCGAUGAAGAACGCAGCGAAAUGCGAUAAGUAAUGUGAAUUGCAGAAUUCAGUGAAUCAUCGAAUCUUUGAACGCACCUUGCGCUCCUUGGUAUUCCGAGGAGCAUGCCUGUUUGAGUGUCAUUA
rnacentral:rRNA from 1 species